UACGUAGGUGGCAAGCGUUGUCCGGAUUUACUGGGCGUAAAGAGCGCGCAGGCGGUCGUUCAAGUCGCGUGUGAAAGCCCCCGGCUCAACUGGGGGGGGUCACGCGAUACUGAUCGACUCGAAGGCAGGAGAGGGUAGUGGAAUUCCCGGUGUAGUGGUGAAAUGCGUAGAUAUCGGGAGGAACACCAGUGGCGAAGGCGACUACCUGGCCUGUUCUUGACGCUGAGGCGCGAAAGCUAGGGGAGCAAACGGGG
rnacentral:rRNA from 1 species